GACAUAGCUCAAUUGGGAGAGUGUAAGACUGAAGACCUUCAGACCGACGGUCCAAU
rnacentral:tRNA from 14 species